CCUCUAUUCACCGCUCUCUCUCUCCCUCCUUAAUCUUCUUCCGCGGCAGAUUUUUCCCAGGCGCCGCGGGCGAUAUUUCCUGGAGGCCGCACCCUUCUUCUUCACAGCGACCAAGCUGCAUCUCCGGCGCUCCUCCAGCUCGGUGCCCAGUCGCUCAGCUCGCAGCGUUCUCUCUGCCCGGCCGUCGUCAAGCUCCCUGCGCGCGCCCCAUCUCGCCGCGCUCAACUCCAGCUCGCCAGCCACGGCAUCUCCUAGCUCCCUGUGCGAGCGCCUGCUUCCUGGCCGCGUCCUCUGCUCCGUCGUCCCCAGCGCCGGCCAAGUCCCUCCAUCGCGGCGCCCCUGCUCGGUUUUCUCCAUGGCGCCGGAUCCCCUGCAAGCUCGCUCAAGUCGCCGCGCUCGGUGCUUCCUGCGCACGCCGGUCCUAGCUUGGCCGACCGCGCAGGCUUCCUACUCCCUGGCCGCCGCGCCACUCAGCUGCCUGCUCUGCUCGCCGCGCGCGCUCCUCUCUGCUGCCGCAUCUCCGGCCCAGCUCGGACUCCAGCUCCCACGUUCGUCGCCGGUCUUCCCUGCGCCUGGCCUUCAGCUCGCCUAAGGCGGCUUCCUCUGCCGGCCGUGCGUUCACCCAGACCCGCGCCGUCCCUGUUCCUCGCCUCUGCACCCAGCCGCGCCCUGCGCACUUCUCUGUUUGGCCAUGUCGCUCCUCCCUGCUAGUCGCAAGCUGUCGAGCUCCUAUCUCCUGUGCGCGCCUCUGUUCCUGGCCGUGCUCGGAUCCAGCCCAGCUCGCCCUUGUGCUGGCCGUGUGCUCCUCGUCCAGCUCGGUCGCGACCUUGCCGUCGUUCCGUGUGCUUAGCCAUCAGUGUUCACCGGCCAUCACGACAUCCCCAGUCUAUCGCGCCAUGCUUCGGUCGUCGUCUACAUCGUCGUCUGGCCGGUAGUGGUCGCCACUAGCUCGCUUUCGUUCAAAUCGCCACCGCGAAUACUUGAGUCUCUGGUCGUGUGUCUUCUAUCUCGCGCUAGUCUCGUCCGCUGCCUCGUCAAUGCCGUCGUCGUCCUCCCUCACGGCGUUGUUGUUUACCCCGCUACUAUAGUUGUGCCUCAUGCGCUGCUCGUCUGAAAUGACCAGGCCAAGUGAACAUCCUGCGCGACUCAAGUUCGAUUCGUCAAAAUUAUUCAGUCGAGAAGAUCUUCAGCAAUUGAUUACUGAAGAAAAGAAGGCCCCUCGAUGACGUCUACCUAGUACUCGACGGAAAGUCUGAAGUAGAAUUUAUCACUGUGUCCGUGGAAGUGGAGCGACUUAAUAUUGGUACGAUAAUUGAUCACGUGAUGCGGAGAACCAGAGCUGAGUCGACCACAAGAGGAUGGAAAGUGCGAGCUUCUCCAUAAGAUGAAGCUGAUGGACCAACCGGAAGAUGGAUAAUCGGAACAAAUGCGAAGACAAAAGAUGGUCGUCGAGCGGACGUCAUCUAACAAACACUAACGUAGUGUUUAUUCCAGGCAAGCCCCGGUGCAUGCAACCCCUUCCUUGUGUUUUUAAAUUAUUUUUACACACUUUAAUUCUAGUGAAUGUGCAUUAGGUUUAUAGGAGUUCCUUAAAAACCCUUUGAUGCAUUGCCUACCUUGAUAUCCAU
rnacentral:misc_RNA from 1 species